UCUCCCUUGGACCAUCAUUGGCAAUUCUCCCGCCUUUUAUUGUUGUUGUAAGCGUCACGUGAGAUCAGUCCCUAGUCAGAUGUAGAGGAGGAUGGACAUGUUGAAUUGGUUCCUCUGUUUGAUUAAUUAUCGCUGUAAUGGUCAUUGUUACAGCAUAACAGCACCUUCACGAGAGUGCGUGUUGGACAGAGUACGUAGCAGUUGUAGAGACGGUGUGUGUGUUGAUUCGAUCCACAAUCGGGUCACAACAUUGUCGACACUUACGAUACUUGUAUUAUCAUUUCGGUGUACCCUGCAACCUUAUGCUAUAAACUGUGAAGUAAAUAUGAAUAAAAUGAUGAACUGUACCAGUGUUGUGGUUCAAGCAUAUUAGCUGUAUUUAUCGUUAGAAGUAGAAGAACCCAAAGGAUUUGUUGCGGUCGAGAAUUAUGGCUGUUCAAAUACGUCUUACUUUUAUUGUCAUCCUACUUACCAUUUUGAAUCUCACGCUGUGCAGACCUUUGGGUGGUCAAAAUAAAAUGAACAGACUUCCUCCUGCUGGUCUUCAAAGUAACUUGGUUUCCUCAAAGGAAGAAAUGUUUCUUACACGUUUGCGCAGGCAUCUACUCAAAGAUGCGAGCCAGCAGAUGAAUGUGGUUCGUGCUGACGGCAGAAUAAUGAAGAAGGCUAACAAGACAUACUAGAUAUCUAACAAGUUGACAUGUAAAGAUUUUAGCUGCAAAACUGUAGAAAUAUUAAAGACUGACAAAUAUACAUUCUGAGAGCGAUCGUGAACACUAACAAAUAAACAUUCAAUAAUUAAAAUGUAUUGAACGUGAUCGUGGUUUGUGUAUGAGCAAAUAUAGUAGUAUGUUUUGUCAUUACAAAAUACUAGUAAUCCUGACUGUGCUCUGUAAAUUCAAAUAGUUCUCUGUAACUGUUUUAUACAAAGAUUAACAAUUAAAUUAUUUUAAACUCU
rnacentral:lncRNA from 1 species